ACAUUGUGUGACUCAGGAAACAGCUCAGACUGAGGCGUGCAGCAGGCUCAGGAGGAAGAAGGGCGGUAGAGGCAGAGGAGGUGGCCUUGCCUGGCCACAAGGGCUCUGAGGGUCCCUGCCUGAAGAGGGAGAGGAGAUCCGGGCCAGGGGCAGGCGCUCUGGAAUGCAGCCCCAGUUGCUGCUGCUGCUGCUCUUGCCACUCAAUUUCCCUGUCAUCCUGACCAGAGUCUCUUCUCCAGAGCUUCUGUGUGGAGGAUCCCCAGAGCCCUGUGCCAACGGAGGCACCUGCCUGAGGCUAUCUCGGGGACAAGGGAUCUGCCAGUGUGCCCCUGGAUUUCUGGGUGAGACUUGCCAGUUUCCUGACCCCUGCAGGGAUACCCAACUCUGCAAGAAUGGUGGCAGCUGCCAAGCCCUGCUCCCCACACCCCCAAGCUCCCGUAGUCCUACUUCUCCACUGACCCCUCACUUCUCCUGCACCUGCCCCUCUGGCUUCACCGGUGAUCGAUGCCAAACCCAUCUGGAAGAGCUCUGUCCACCUUCUUUCUGUUCCAACGGGGGUCACUGCUAUGUUCAGGCCUCAGGCCGCCCACAGUGCUCCUGCGAGCCUGGGUGGACAGGUGAGCAAUGCCAGCUCCGAGACUUCUGCUCAGCCAACCCCUGUGCCAACGGAGGCGUGUGCCUGGCCACAUACCCCCAGAUCCAGUGCCGCUGUCCACCUGGGUUCGAGGGUCACACCUGUGAACGCGACAUCAACGAGUGCUUCCUGGAGCCGGGACCCUGCCCUCAGGGCACCUCCUGCCAUAACACCUUGGGUUCCUACCAGUGUCUCUGCCCUGUGGGGCAGGAAGGUCCCCAGUGCAAGCUCAGGAAGGGAGCCUGCCCUCCUGGAAGCUGUCUCAAUGGGGGCACCUGCCAGCUGGUCCCAGAGGGACACUCCACCUUUCAUCUCUGCCUCUGUCCCCCAGGUUUCACGGGGCUGGACUGUGAGAUGAACCCAGAUGACUGUGUCAGGCACCAGUGUCAGAACGGGGCCACCUGUCUGGAUGGGCUGGACACCUACACCUGCCUCUGCCCCAAGACAUGGAAGGGCUGGGACUGCUCUGAAGAUAUAGAUGAAUGUGAAGCCCGGGGUCCCCCUCGCUGCAGGAACGGUGGCACCUGCCAGAACACAGCUGGCAGCUUUCACUGUGUGUGCGUGAGUGGCUGGGGAGGCGCAGGCUGUGAGGAGAACCUGGAUGACUGUGCAGCUGCCACCUGUGCCCCGGGAUCCACCUGCAUCGACCGUGUGGGCUCCUUCUCCUGCCUCUGCCCACCUGGACGCACAGGCCUCCUGUGCCACCUGGAAGACAUGUGUUUGAGUCAGCCGUGCCACGUGAAUGCCCAGUGCAGCACCAACCCUCUGACAGGCUCCACCCUCUGCAUAUGCCAGCCUGGCUACUCAGGAUCCACCUGUCACCAAGAUCUGGAUGAGUGCCAAAUGGCCCAGCAAGGACCCAGUCCCUGCGAACAUGGCGGCUCCUGCAUCAACACCCCUGGCUCCUUCAACUGCCUCUGCCUGCCUGGUUACACGGGCUCCCGCUGUGAAGCUGACCACAAUGAGUGCCUGUCACAGCCCUGCCACCCAGGCAGCACCUGCCUGGACCUGCUUGCAACCUUCCACUGCCUCUGCCCACCAGGCUUGGAAGGGAGGCUCUGUGAGGUGGAGGUCAAUGAGUGCACCUCUAAUCCCUGCCUGAACCAAGCUGCCUGCCAUGACCUGCUCAACGGCUUCCAGUGCCUCUGCCUUCCUGGAUUCACCGGCGCCCGAUGUGAGAAAGACAUGGACGAGUGUAGCAGCACCCCCUGUGCCAAUGGGGGGCGCUGCCGAGACCAGCCUGGAGCCUUCUACUGCGAGUGUCUCCCAGGCUUUGAAGGGCCACACUGUGAGAAAGAAGUGGACGAAUGUCUGAGUGACCCCUGCCCCGUGGGAGCCAGCUGCCUUGAUCUCCCCGGAGCAUUCUUCUGCCUCUGCCGUCCUGGUUUCACAGGUCAACUUUGUGAGGUUCCCUUGUGCACCCCCAACAUGUGCCAACCUGGACAGCAAUGCCAAGGUCAGGAACACAGAGCCCCCUGCCUCUGCCCUGACGGAAGUCCUGGCUGUGUUCCUGCCGAGGACAACUGCCCCUGUCACCAUGGCCAUUGCCAGAGAUCCUUGUGUGUGUGUGAUGAGGGCUGGACUGGACCAGAAUGCGAGACAGAACUGGGUGGCUGCAUCUCCACACCCUGUGCCCAUGGGGGGACCUGCCACCCACAGCCAUCUGGCUACAACUGUACCUGCCCUGCAGGCUACAUGGGGUUGACCUGUAGUGAGGAGGUGACAGCUUGUCACUCAGGGCCCUGUCUCAAUGGUGGCUCCUGCAGCAUCCGUCCUGAGGGCUAUUCCUGCACCUGCCUUCCAAGUCACACAGGUCGCCACUGCCAGACUGCCGUGGACCACUGUGUGUCUGCCUCGUGCCUCAAUGGGGGUACCUGUGUGAACAAGCCUGGCACUUUCUUCUGCCUCUGUGCCACUGGCUUCCAGGGGCUGCACUGUGAGGAGAAGACUAACCCCAGCUGUGCAGACAGCCCCUGCAGGAACAAGGCAACCUGCCAAGACACACCUCGAGGGGCCCGCUGCCUCUGCAGCCCUGGCUAUACAGGAAGCAGCUGCCAGACUCUGAUAGACUUGUGUGCCCGGAAGCCCUGUCCACACACUGCUCGAUGCCUCCAGAGUGGGCCCUCGUUCCAGUGCCUGUGCCUCCAGGGAUGGACAGGGGCUCUCUGUGACUUCCCACUGUCCUGCCAGAAGGCCGCGAUGAGCCAAGGCAUAGAGAUCUCUGGCCUGUGCCAGAAUGGAGGCCUCUGUAUUGACACGGGCUCCUCCUAUUUCUGCCGCUGCCCUCCUGGAUUCCAAGGCAAGUUAUGCCAGGAUAAUGUGAACCCCUGUGAGCCCAAUCCCUGCCAUCACGGGUCUACCUGUGUGCCUCAGCCCAGUGGCUAUGUCUGCCAGUGUGCCCCAGGCUAUGAGGGACAGAACUGCUCAAAAGUACUUGACGCUUGUCAGUCCCAGCCCUGCCACAACCACGGAACCUGUACCUCCAGGCCUGGAGGCUUCCACUGUGCCUGCCCUCCAGGCUUCGUGGGACUGCGCUGUGAGGGAGAUGUGGAUGAGUGUCUGGACCGGCCCUGUCACCCCUCGGGCACUGCAGCUUGCCACUCUUUAGCCAACGCCUUCUACUGCCAGUGUCUGCCUGGGCACACAGGCCAGCGGUGUGAGGUGGAGAUGGACCUCUGUCAGAGCCAACCCUGCUCCAAUGGAGGAUCCUGUGAGAUCACAACAGGGCCACCCCCUGGCUUCACCUGUCACUGCCCCAAGGGUUUUGAAGGCCCCACCUGCAGCCACAAAGCCCUUUCCUGCGGCAUCCAUCACUGCCACAAUGGAGGCCUAUGUCUGCCCUCCCCUAAGCCAGGGUCACCACCACUCUGUGCCUGCCUCAGUGGUUUUGGGGGCCCUGACUGUCUGACACCUCCAGCUCCACCGGGCUGCGGUCCCCCCUCACCCUGCCUGCACAAUGGUACCUGCACUGAGACCCCUGGGUUGGGCAACCCGGGCUUUCAAUGCACCUGCCCUCCUGACUCUCCAGGGCCCCGGUGUCAAAGGCCAGGGGCAAGUGGGUGUGAGGGCCGAGGUGGUGAUGGGACCUGCGAUGCUGGCUGCAGUGGCCCAGGAGGAGACUGGGAUGGAGGGGACUGUUCCCUGGGGGUCCCAGACCCCUGGAAGGGCUGUCCCCCGCAUUCCCAGUGCUGGCUUCUGUUCCGGGACGGACGGUGUCACCCGCAGUGUGACUCUGAGGAGUGUCUCUUUGAUGGCUACGACUGUGAAAUCCCUCUAACCUGCAUCCCAGCCUAUGACCAGUACUGCCGAGAUCACUUCCACAACGGGCACUGUGAGAAAGGCUGCAAUAACGCUGAAUGUGGCUGGGACGGGGGAGACUGCAGACCAGAAGGGGAAGACUCAGAGGGGAGGCCCUCCCUGGCCCUGCUGGUGGUGCUGAGGCCCCCAGCCCUGGAUCAGCAGCUGCUUGCCCUGGCACGAGUGCUGUCCCUGACUCUGAGGGUCGGUCUCUGGGUGAGGAAGGACAGUGAAGGCAGGAACAUGGUGUUCCCCUAUCCUGGGACCCGGGCCAAAGAGGAGCUGAGUGGAGCUAGGGAUUCCUCUUCAUGGGAAAGACAAGCCCCUCCCACUCAGCCCCUGGGCAAGGAGACAGAGUCUCUUGGUGCAGGGUUUGUGGUAGUGAUGGGAGUGGAUCUGUCCCGCUGUGGUCCGGAACAUCCUGCGUCCCGCUGCCCCUGGGACUCUGGACUCCUGCUGCGCUUCCUUGCAGCAAUGGCAGCAGUGGGAGCUCUGGAGCCCCUGCUGCCUGGACCCUUGCUGGCGGCUCACCCUCAAGCAGGGACCAGGCCCUCUGCCAACCAGCUUCCCUGGCCCAUUCUAUGUUCACCAGUGGUUGGGGUGCUUCUCCUGGCCCUUGGGGCCCUUCUCGUCCUCCAGCUCAUUCGGCGACGGCGACGAGAACAUGGGGCCCUGUGGCUGCCCCCUGGUUUCAUUCGAAGGCCUCAGACACAGCAGGCACCCCACCGGCGGAGGCCCCCACUGGGCGAGGACAACAUUGGUCUUAAGGCACUGAAGCCAGAGGCCGAAGUGGAUGAGGAUGGAGUGGCCAUGUGCUCGGGCCCUGAAGAGGGAGAGGCUGAAGAAACAGCCUCAGCCUCCAGGUGCCAGCUUUGGCCGCUCAACAGCGGCUGUGGAGAGCUCCCCCAGGCAGCCAUGCUGACCCCUCCUCAGGAGUGUGAAUCGGAGGUUCUGGAUGUGGACACCUGUGGACCUGAUGGGGUGACACCCCUGAUGUCAGCCGUCUUCUGUGGGGGAGUGCAGUCCACGACUGGGGCUAGUCCACAGAGACUGGGGCUAGGAAAUCUGGAACCCUGGGAACCACUGCUGGAUAGAGGGGCCUGCCCCCAGGCUCACACUGUGGGCACUGGAGAGACGCCUCUGCACCUAGCUGCCAGAUUCUCUCGGCCAACCGCUGCCCGCCGCCUCCUUGAGGCUGGAGCCAACCCCAACCAGCCAGACCGCGCUGGGCGCACCCCACUUCACACUGCUGUGGCUGCCGACGCUCGGGAGGUUUGCCAGCUCCUAUUGGCCAGCAGACAGACUACGGUGGACGCCCGCACAGAGGACGGGACUACACCUUUGAUGCUGGCUGCCAGGCUGGCCGUGGAGGACCUGGUUGAAGAAUUGAUCGCAGCCCGAGCAGAUGUAGGAGCCAGGGAUAAAAGGGGUAUGCAUGGAGCCGCUGUGUUAUUGGAAUGUUGGGGAGAGCGGUAAGGAGGUGAAGUUCAAAAUACAGGCGCAGUGGGGACAGACUAGAGGCUCUUAUGCUGUGGCAGGAUGGAGAGCGAGUUUCCCCAUCACUGUUAAGUACACAUCUUGUCUCAGUCCAUGAUACGGGAAUGGAAGAAGUACCGGCGGGAACCGUAAUGGGGAUACCGGGGUCCCACCGAUCCAGAACAAUACCCAUUGUCCUGCCCGCGCGCCCAUGACGUCACCAGGGCAACACUUGCAGCCGACUGUCGGUUGCCAGGGCAACGCUUCCCGCCUCUGAAGAAUCCAAGUAGCUCUCCCUUCCUCCCCCCACCACCAAGGCCAGAACCCGUGGGAAACUAAAAGGAACAGACGCCGCUUUUCCUGGCAGCGCGCGAAGGAGCCGUGGAGGUGGCGCAGCUGUUGCUGGAGCUCGGGGCGGCCCGGGGACUGCGAGACCAGGCCGGGCUGGCCCCAGGAGAUGUGGCCCGCCAGCGCAGUCACUGGGACCUGCUAACGCUGCUGGAAGGGGCUGGACCGACUACGCAGGAGGCCCGUGCGCACGCACGCACCACGCCGGGGGGCGGGGCCGCGCCGCGCUGCCGGACGCUGUCUGCGGGAGCGCGCCCGCGCGGGGGCGGAGCCUGUCUGCAGGCUCGCACUUGGUCGGUGGACUUGGGAGCGCGCGGAGGGAAGGUGUAUGCUCGCUGCCGGAGCCGAUCUGGAAGCUGCGGAGGCCCCACCACGCGCGGCCGCAGGUUCUCCGCGGGCUCCCGUGGACGACGCGGGGCUAGGGCAUCACAGGAUGACUGGCCUCGCGACUGGGUGGCCCUGGAAGCCUGCGGCUCCGCCUGCAGUGCGCCGAUCCCGCCUCCCAGCCUGACCCCGUCCCCAGAACGUGGAUCCCCUCAAGUUGCCUGGGGUCUUCCAGUUCACCAAGAGAUUCCCUUAAACUCGGUUGUAAGAAAUCUGAACUAGGCAGCUGCGUGGAAGGAAGGAAGCGACACGUACGAGUCUGGAAGACUCCGGACUUUUAAGGCCAAAAUAACCGUUAAGCUCACUUGUCUCCCCCAUAGAGUAUGCACAGCAAUGGGAAGAGGGUUUAGGAUGUCCGGUUGAGAUAGACCGUGAUUUUCCUGGAAAAUAGGGCAGCUUCAAGAGGACAAAGUUGAUUUCGAGAAUCCCUAAACUCUGGAACCAAGAACUGUGGGCGAAUUGGGUGUAAAAUGUUUCUUGUGUAUGGUUUCCCAAAAGGAGCCUCUGCUAUCUACUGCCCACAAGUAGCUGGCAACUAUUUAUUAAGCACCUACGAUGUGCCGGGUGUUGUGUAGAUGAACAGUAAGUAACCAGUGGCCCAUCCAGCUGAUGACUCCUUGCCCUCUCUCUGCCUCCCCACAAGGACACUGGUGCAGGGAUGAGGCCAUGUUCUCCAGUCACUGCUAUCUCCGAGAACCCCAAACUCAUGGAUAAUAAAGCUAAUUUGAAGUGCUACUUUA